ACCUACGGGGGGCAGCAGUCGGGAAUUUUGCGCAAUGGGCGAAAGCCUGACGCAGCAACGCCGCGUGAGGGAUGAAGGCCUUCGGGUUGUAAACCUCUUUUCUCAGGGACGAUAAUGACGGUACCUGAGGAAUAAGCCACGGCUAACUACGUGCCAGCAGCCGCGGUAAUACGUAGGUGGCGAGCGUUGUCCGGAUUUACUGGGCGUAAAGAGCGCGCAGGCGGUCGUUCAAGUCGAGUGUGAAAGCCCCCGGCUCAACUGGGGAGGGUCACUCGAUACUGAUCGACUCGAAGGCGGGAGAGGGUAGUGGAAUUCCCGGUGUAGUGGUGAAAUGCGUAGAUAUCGGGAGGAACACCAGUGGCGAAGGCGACUACCUGGCCCGUUCUUGACGCUGAGGCGCGAAAGCUAGGGGAGCAAACGGGAUUAGAUACCCCUGUAGUCC
rnacentral:rRNA from 1 species